rnacentral:lncRNA from 1 species
CCCCCCCGCGCGCCCAUUGGCCCAGCGACCCCCGUCCCGUGCUCCCAUUGGCCCAGAGCCUCUCGUUCCGCGCUCUCAUUGGCCCAGCGACCCUCGUCCCGCGCUCCCAUUGGCCUCGGAGCCCUCCACAAACAAAGGCCGGAGCCCGGCGGGGGGCCCGGCGCGCCGCUCUGAUUGGCGGAGCGAAAGGGCGGGGCGGCCCGGCUAGGCUCCUCCCACAGAGCGACGCCGGAUGCCCUCAUAUGGAGCUGGGCGGGGCGCGCUCAUUCAUGCGCGCUGGGAGGGGCGGGGCCAGCGCGGGGCUGCGCUUCCCGCCCGCGGCGCGCGCGGCUCGUUCCCACGGCGCGGGCGAGUGAAUGAACGGGCGCGCGCGGGGGCGCGGCACGGCACCGUGAGGGUCGGUACGGCCCGGUGAGGUCCGGUAAGGCUCCGUGCGGCCCGGUAAGCUCCGCUAUGGCACCGUGCGGCUCGGGACGGCUCGGUACAUCUCAGUGCCUGUGCUAGGCGUGGGUGCGUGCAGGUGGGGAGCGGGUCCACGCGCGGUGUGACGGUGCCGGGGCUCGCGUGGGGCGGGCGCGAUCGUGUCCUGAGUGUGCGUGGUUGCAUCCCCCGUGGUUGUACCCCCGGUGCUGUGUCCACCUGCUCGCCCCUCUGUGCCUUGCACACCCACGCGUGCUUUGUUCUGGGGGGCUUCUCAGGGUCCCCCCGCGGCCCUGGCUCUGCAUCGCUCCUGCCCAGGCCCUGGGGCAGCACCAGCAUCGCAAGUGCUUGGGGACCCACAUCCCAAAAUGCAUCCCAUGGAAGGGAGGGCAGGGAUCGUUCCAGGGAAGAGCAUCCCCGUGCCGUGGGAGGUUCAUGGGAGGCCC